AUUGAACGCUGGCGGCAGGCCUAACACAUGCCAGUCGAGCGAGCGGCGGACGGGUGAGUAAUGUCUGGGAAACUGCCUGAUGGAGGGGGAUAACUACUGGAAACGGUAGCUAAUACCGCAUACCAUCCUCUGUGCCCCGAUGGGAUUAGCUAGUAGGUGGGGUAACGGCUCACCUAGGCGACGAUCCCUAGCUGGUCUGAGAGGAUGAUCAGGCACACUGGAAGGGAGACACGGUCCAGACUCCUACGUGAGGCAGAAGUGGGGAAUAGUGGACAAGGGGCGAAAGCCUGAUCCAGCCAUGCCGCGUGUGGGAAGAAGGUCUUCGGAGGGUAAAGCACUUUAAGUUGGGAGGCGUUACCAACAGAAGACGCACCGGCUAACUUCGUGCCAGAAGCCGCGGUAAUAC
rnacentral:rRNA from 1 species